rnacentral:piRNA from 1 species
UGGAUCCGGAUACAGAACUCUCAGCUUC